UGGUACUGCAGGAGGCUGAAUUUGGGAAAACAUCCUAUUAAGAAGAGUGAGUUUGAACUGGUCAGAUAAUGACACUUGAAUUUGGACAGACAAGCAACCCAGCCACCUUUCAGUGUGGCUGUGUCAGUAUCGGAAUGAAAUGAACAUGACCCCCUCCAGCAGGGAAGGAACACACAGUAAAGCCUUCACCUCAAAGAUCAGAUUCAGCCGACGGUAGAACCUGCUUUGAACCACCUUCUUCUUCUCCACAAUGCGGACAUCAGGAU